CUGUUAUGCAACAACUGGUAACUAAGACAGAUUUUGGUACCAAGAGUGAGGUGCUACCCUUACAAAAGUUUAAAUGAGAGAGUGGCUUUGAAAACAGGCAGUGGACAGAAGUGGAAAGACUUCGAGGAAAGUGUCAGUGAAAGCCUGAAGAACCUGCUAAGUAGAAGCCUUUGUGGAGGCCACAGAGUACCACCUGGCCUACAGCCUUGAAUGACUGAUCUUCAUAACAUGUUAUCCCACUUCUUGAUCAUGGCUACUGGACCAGUGACCGACACCUGCUCAAGACUGGCCAAUCAUAUUUCCUCUUCCAUGCCUCUGGAAUCUGAACACUAAAAUGUUACUACACUUGGCAGCAAACCAAGGAGAGGUCAUGCAGAGCAAAGACUGCCAACUAGGAGUGAUAUAAACCAAUUGCGAUAAUUAAGAUCACCUGUUCUGGGGGAAGCCCGAUGCUAUUUCGUAAGGAGACUCAAGCAGCCCUAUGGAUAGGGCCACACAGCAAGAAACUGAGGCCUCUUGCCAACAACCAGCAGCAACUGGCUAGGUAUGUGAGUGAGCUGGCUUGGAAGCAGAUAUUUCAGACCCAGAGAAAUCUCCAGAUGACUACAGCCCCAGCUGACAUCUUGACUGCAGCCUCGUGAAAGACUGCGAGCCAGAAAUGCAGAGAAAAUACAGACAUUAAAUAUACAAUUACAAGUAUGAUGGCUGCCCAGAGGUCCCAAGACCAGACCCAAGAAAUGGCUCUCAGAGAAACCCUGACAGAUCCACACUCAACUCUACCUGAGCCGCAAGCUAAAACUUACCUCCAAGAGAGACCUGCCUCAUUGCUGUCUUGAAGUGUGGCCCUGCUCACUGAUCAAAUAGAGGCUAUGGAAAUAAAAACUGAAGAUAAAGCAAGAAUCACUCCAUUUCCUUAAGGAAAAUCGUGAGUUCCUGAAAUGCGGAGUACACCGUUCACUCAUUCUUCCAUUCAGUCAUUGAAGAAAUCGUAAACACCUACCAAGUUCCAGGCCUUGUACUAGGGAUUCUGAGAAAAGCAGAUCCUUGACCUCAGGGAGCUAACAAUCUAAAUCAGG
rnacentral:lncRNA from 1 species